GACGUGAGGGGGCGAGCGUUAUCCGGAUUCACUGGGCGUAAAGGGCGCGCAGGCGGCUAUGUAAGUCCGGCGUGAAAUCCCAUGGCUUAACUGUGGAACUGCGUCGGAUACUGCAUUGGCUUGAGGGCGGUAGAGGCUUCUGGAACUAGCGGUGUAGCGGUGAAAUGCGCAGAUAUCGCUAGGAACGCCGGUGGCGAAGGCGGGAAGCUGGGCCGAUCCUGACGCUGAGGCGCGAAAGCUAGGGGAGCGAACCGG
rnacentral:rRNA from 1 species